GUCGGGAGUGGGCGAAUACAAGACCCGUAAGGGGAAUAUGUCCGGCCCUGUUCUCUGCUCAAGGGUUUCUUAGCUCCCGACACCUAAUC
rnacentral:ncRNA from 1 species